rnacentral:rRNA from 1 species
ACGGAGGAUGCGAGCGUUAUCCGGAUUCAUUGGGUUUAAAGGGUGCGUAGGCGGACUAUUAAGUCAGUGGUGAAAUCCUGCAGCUUAACUGCAGAACUGCCAUUGAUACUGAUAGACUUGAGUUUGGUUAAGGUAGGUGGAAUGUGUGAUGUAGAGGUGAAAUGCGUAGAUAUUGGAAGGAAUACCAAUUGCGAAGGCGACUUACUGGGCGGAUACUGACGCUGAGGCGCGAAAGCGUGGGGAGCAAACAG